GGACGAACGCUGGCGGCGUGCUUAACACAUGCAAGUCGAGCGGUAAGGCCCUUCGGGGUACACGAGCGGCGAACGGGUGAGUAACACGUGGGUGAUCUGCCUCGCACUCUGGGAUAAGCCUGGGAAACUGGGUCUAAUACCGGAUACGACCWMKGGSUGCAUGSUYKKUGGUGGAAAGAUUUAUUGGUGCGAGAUGGGCCCGCGGCCUAUCAGCUUGUUGGUGGGGUAACGGCCUACCAAGGCGACGACGGGUAGCCGACCUGAGAGGGUGAUCGGCCACACUGGGACUGAGACACGGCCCAGACUCCUACGGGAGGCAGCAGUGGGGAAUAUUGCACAAUGGGCGGAAGCCUGAUGCAGCGACGCCGCGUGAGGGAUGACGGCCUUCGGGUUGUAAACCUCUUUCGACAGGGACGAAGCGCAAGUGACGGUACCUGUAGAAGAAGCACCGGCCAACUAC
rnacentral:rRNA from 1 species